AGAGUUUGAUCCUGGCUCAGGAUAAACGCUGGCGGCGUGCCUAACACAUGCAAGUCGAACGCGCUUGAGAAAUCAAGCGAGUGGCGGACGGGUGAGGAACACGUGGGUUAUCUACCUUGAGGUGAGGAAUACCGGCGAGAAAUCGCCGACAAUACCGCAUACGUUUGGAAACAAACAAAGCUUCGGCAACGGAGUGCCCC
rnacentral:rRNA from 1 species